rnacentral:lncRNA from 1 species
GUGGUCAGUGGAAAGCUUGGCACUUCCUCUAUUUGAUGCACUAUUAAUGCCUCUAAAAUGCAGUUCCCCUGUAAUUCAGCCAGUGGAGAUUGGUAGAAAAAUCUUAUAACAAUAAAAAUCAUUGCUGCAAUCCCUGAAUUCCAAGGAUUAUGCAUAUUGUGCAGUUUUACCUAUUCCUCAUCUCAGCCUGCUGCUGCAGUGUGUGUGGCCUUGGGAAGGACACUGUGUGUUUACAAACAGUCCAACCAACUGAACCGAAUUAAGAGCGUUCUUUGUUUACUUUGAUGGGAACUGGAAGACGCCUCUAAAAUCAGCUAGAGGGAGCUGUACCUUCUGCGAAGGAGCAGUGUACGCUGGUGAGAGUGGUUCCAUGCAACUGAAGCAGUGGAGAAAAAGAACUGAGCUCCUAGUGACGCAAUCAAGAUCACUUGUGCCAGAGGAGCAGUGAGCUUCACCUGAGAUGCUUGGCAGGCCCACUAAUGAAACAACCGGCCACUGUCUUAGGAAGAAGCUGGCUGCUGGUCUCAUCUGGAAAUUGAUGACGUUUCACUAUCGAGGGCAAGAACUGGACGGUAUCCUAACAGCAAAUAAUGGUCAAAACUCAUUGGCAGAGGAAGAAAGGGCUCUCAUACCUACAAGAUUCACAGCCUCUAUACCCAAGAGGAAGAAAAAAGCAGCAGUGAUUGGUAAUUUCCUCUUAAAGCCCUCAUCUGCCUCAUGCAGAGGACAUCUUAGAGUGCUGCCUCCGAAGACCUUGGUUCCAACAAAUCACUAUAAAGUGGAUGAAGCUCAUCUGUCACGGUGUUCACAACCUUAUGUGCUCCUCCAUCUGGGUCAUAUUGAUACUUUCAGAAAUGACCUCAAACAGAUCAAAGCAAUCUUCACUAAAAAAGCCAGCUGUGACUACUACAGUUAACACCGUAACUUUCUGAAAUGGUCUGGAAGAGAGAAGCAAGUAAACUGUUUGUUGCUACAUGGAAAUUAAGGAGGAAGUGAUGUGCAGAUAGCAGCCAACGUAAUUUUUUUUUUYCCCCUGGGAAUAAGUGCUGUCGACCUAAUCUAAUUUCCUUCUGGACAGGAUGGCCGGCUGUGUGGACAGGAAAGAAGUCAUUGCGGUCGUUUAUCUUGACUUUAAUAAUACUUCUUUUUAUUCUUUCGCAUGAGCUUCCCAUAAGCUAUACAGGAAACAAUCAUGAAAUUCUUAAAAGGAAGAUGCAAAAGCCAGUUGGCUAAGUAGUAGUUAACAGCAGCUAAGAGUCAAAAUUGAACGAUACGUCAAGUUGGGUUAUGCAAGGUUCUCCUAUUAGUUCUUUCUUAUUAAUUGUUUUAUUCAAUAUUUUUAUUAAUGACUUGAAUGUUGGAAUGGAAACUAUGCUCAUUACAUUUGCAAAUGAUAUGAAGAUAUGAUCUGAGAGAACAAUAUGGACAAACACGCAGUACAACAUCUGAGGAGGAACAGUAAGCAAAUGCAGGAUGGAGGACAAUUAACUAGGUGACUCUUCCUUUAAAGUGGGUCUGAGGGGAUUACAGCACAUCGUAAGCUUAAGUAGUUUCACGCUGUUGUUUGAAAGGCGAACAUCAUAUCAUGCAAUCUAAACCAGAGCACAUAAUAAAGUAAUCUUGCUUUACUUAACA